CCCGGGGUAGAGAAGUUAGCUGUGUGUCUCUGAAGGACAUAGGCUAACUAACGAGCUAUGUUAAUGUCACACCGUAUCGUCGAGUAUCGGUAUGGUAUAAGUAAUUGUCUACCUUAAAGUCAAAUCGAAUUAAAGAGUUGUUAUUGUUACCCCGGUCUCGAAAUUAUUACCUCUCCCGGCUUCCCUCCGACGCGUCCGCGAGUAUCAAGGAAGAACGUGAAAGAACCACGACGCUCUACCACGAAGAAUAGCGAGGGAUUCGACUCGCUUUCAACGAAAUAAACUGAGCUAGCUGAGAUAAUCAUGCGGUUCUAGUCUUCAUGUUAUUAAGUAGACUAUUCCUUCUUAAUAUUGUCAUCAAACGGAAAGGAAGUGUACAGUGGAGACCUUCACGUCAAGAAACUUUCGAAGGAUUCAUCUUCCACAUAAAAUUUUCUGGAUAUUCAACCAACUUUGGAUCCAAGAAGAAGAAAAUUAAAAGAAUUCGGUCUCACGUUACAACCUGUGGUAAUUAUUGUUGGGCC